AUUGAACGCUGGCGGCAUGCUUUACACAUGCAAGUCGAACGGCAGCGGGGGCUUCGGCCUGCCGGCGAGUGGCGAACGGGUGAGUAAUGCAUCGGAACGUGCCCAUGGCGUGGGGGAUAACUACGCGAAAGCGUAGCUAAUACCGCAUAAGCCCUGACGGGGUAAGCGGGGGAUUCUUCGGAACCGCGUGCGAUUGGAGCGGCCGAUGUCGGAUUAGCUAGUAGGUGAGGUACAGGCACACCUAGGAGACGAUCCGUAGCGGGUCUGAGAGGAUGAUCCGCCACACUGGGACUGAGACACGGCCCAGACUCCUACGGGAGGCAGCAGUGGGGAAUUUUGGACAAUGGGCGCAAGCCUGAUCCAGCCAUGCCGCGUGAGUGAAGAAGGCCUUCGGGUUGUAAAGCUCUUUCGGCCGGGAAGAAAUCGGCGACUCUAACAUAGUCGCUGGAUGACGGUACCGGACUAAGAAGCACCGGCUAACUACGUGCCAGCCGCCGCAGUAACAC
rnacentral:rRNA from 1 species